rnacentral:misc_RNA from 1 species
AAGUCGUAACAAGGUUUCCGUAGGUGAACCUGCGGAAGGAUCAUUAUCGUACAACCGAGGUGCCAAGGGCUGUCGCUGACCCUCAAAGGUUGUGCACGCCCAAAGCGCUCUCACACAUCCAUCUCACCCCUUUUGUGCAUCACCGCGUGGGCCCCCCUUUGCAGGAGGGCUUGCGUUUUCACACAAAACUUGAUACAGUGUAGAAUGUUUUUCUCUUGCAGUCACAUGCAAUCAAUACAACUUUCAACAACGGAUCUCUUGGCUCUCGCAUCGAUGAAGAACGCAGCGAAAUGCGAUACGUAAUGUGAAUUGCAGAAUUCAGUGAAUCAUCGAAUCUUUGAACGCACCUUGCGCCCCUUGGCAUUCCGAGGGGCACACCCGUUUGAGUGUCGUGAAAUCAUCAAAACCCUUUUUCUUUGAUCCCUAUUGUGGUCAGGAAAAGGAUUUUUGGACUUGGAGGUUUCAUGCUUGCUUUUGCUUUCAAAAGUGAGCUCCUCUCAAAUGAAUUAGUGGGGUCUGCUUUGCUGGUCCUUGACGUGAUAAGAUGUUUCAACGUUUUGGAUUUGGCACUGUCCCUUGGAUGCCUGCUUUUAACUGUCUCUCGAGACAAUGAUGGUGCUUCGGUCACCGGCCAAUCUACAUUGGCGGGGAGGCUGGACCCACAAAAAGAAAAGACCUUGACCUCAAAUCGGGUGAGACUACCCGCUGAACUUAAGCAUAUCAAUAAGCGGAGGAAAAGAAACUAACAAGGAUUCCCCUAGUAACUGCGAGUGAAGCGGGAAAAGCUCAAAUUUAAAAUCUGGUGGUCUUUGGCCACUCGAGUUGUAAUUUAGAGAA